UGAAAACUUUUCUGAUAUUCAGGAAGUGACCCAGUUCUGCACCACUGAUUUUUGUAGCUAUCCCGUAAGGCUGCUGGCUGAAAGCUGUGUCUAUGCAACCUUCCAAGUGCGGAGUGUCAACCAACUGGACAGGAGAGAGCACUGCCUCCUACUCCAGAACUCAAAACAAAUAAAGCUCAUCCAGCUGUACUUCAAAAAAAAAAAUAAUUCCAUGUUUUGUAUAUAUCUGACAAAACUGGCAACAUUAUACAGACUACUGACUUGAAGACCACCUCUUUUGUAUUUCUCUGUUUCUGGGCUGAUGAGUUGGUUUCAUCCAUUUUUCCCCCUUCAGAAUUUCCCUUGGAAAAAGUACUAGCUUAGCUGGUCAUUUCUUUGUAAGGUAGUUAGAAAUUUUAAGUCUUUCUUUGGGCAACAUUUUUUUUUUUUUUUUUAAUGUGAAGAGUUAGGUGAUAUAAAUUUUUUACUGCUUUUAUGUUUUUCUGUCUUGUUUUGAAACCAUGACGGUUACACUUUUGGUUCCUAAAUAAAAUUUAAAACAAUUAACAGCCAAGUCACAAAGAUAAAUGGGUUGCACAUAGACUAAGGAAUAAACUUCAGAUUUGUGAUUUUUGUUUCUAAUCUUGAUGUAAAUUUACACUAUUUAUAAAUACAUAUUUAUUGCUUGAAAAUAUUUGUGAAUGGAAUGCUGUUAUUUUUUCCAGAUUACCUGCCAUUGAAAUUUUAAGGAGUUCUGUAAUUUCAAACACUACUCCUAUUACAUUUUCUAUAUGUAAAUAAAACUGCUUAGCAUUGUACAGAAACUUUUAUUAAAAUUGUUUAAUGUUUAAAGUUUUUCUAUUGUUUGAGUUUUAAAAAGAUUUUAUGUACAGUGCCCAGUUUUUGUUCUUUUUUGAAUCUGAUUAUAUAUAUUUUAUAUAUACUCUUGUGCUUGUGUAUAUAUAUAAUAUAUAUAGAAACUCGAAUAUAAAUAUGUGUAUAAAGAUUUAGAGACUAAAUUUUUCUCGUUUUAAGUUUUACAUCUAUGGUAGAUUUGAGGUGUCUACUGUAAAGUAUUGCUUACAAAAGUAUGAUUAUUUUUAAAGAAAUAUAUGGUAUGUAUCCUCAAGACAUAGAAUGACCUUCAGACUGGUUUAUUGUUAAAUUGCACUUUUUGCAAUAACAGACCAAUAAAUAGUUGCUGCCAAAAUGUAGUAGUAGAAAGUAAGUAACAGCUAAAUUUUAAAGCUCUUCAAGAAAAUACCGGCUUUGACAGGAAGUUUGGCACUAGUUUUAGAGGAGGAAUGAAGAAGAUGAAUUGGUGGGGAUGUUCUCUAGAUUUCAACCAAAUUGCAACUUAUAUAUUACAAUAUGUUCUAUUAACGAUUUUAAAAGUGAAGACUGAAUCAUCUUGGCGUCAUUGUUGACCCCAAAAAAAGGACGUUGUUUUGUGGUAUUCUAUUGUAUUUUCACAUAUUUUGUAAUACGAAUUCACUGGUAAAUUUUUGAAGCACUAGGUUUAUUUAGGACAAGUUUAUAAUAUAUCAUUGUAACAGUUUGCAGUUUUAAUGAUGGUAUUUAUUUUAAGUUGCUCCUUUCUCAUUAGCUUCUUGGAAAUGCAUUAAAUCUAAAUUUCAAAAUUGAUAGCUUUCUUAUCGAUCAGAGUUGACUGAUGCAGAGGGUUCUGCAUCGAGCAGUAUCUCAUAAUUUCUCAUUAGUGGGGUAUGUUAGUGAUUGCAUUGUUAAAUUUUUUGUAAUCAAUGUGAAGUGUUAAAGGCACAGAGCAUGUGAGUAGUUUCUUUUGAACAAAAAGAAUCGCCUCUUACGUUGUAGCUUCAAACGAAGGGUGUUUUAAUGAAGAAUCAGUACAGCUUAUCUAACGCUGUUACAGCAGUGGAACCAUAGUUAUUACUGACUUUCUUGCUAGUUCUUACAACACUUGGACAAAAGGGUGUAGAGAUUAAAGAAAAGAGUUAACAAAUGCUCUUGCCAGCAAAAUUAUCAACUAGCAGUUAGGAAGCCAGUAUUUGCAGUUCUGUAAAGAUGUAAGUCUCAGCUCUUGAUAACAAACUCUACAAAUCAUAAUUUUUUUUUUUACUUAUGUAUUUUAUGCAGUCAUAAAUAUUGUAAUCUUGACAAACCAUGCUGCAACUGAAAAGCUACUCCUUUUACAGUAGUCUUAAACCCAAAUAAAAGCAAGAUACACUUACCUCAA